GGGGGCUUUGACUUCUUGCCCUCUGAGUCGGAAAAAUAUCAAAUGUUAAUUUGUUUACUUUAAAAAAUAGGGAAUCAAGAGUAUGCAACUCUAUUUGGCAAAUGUAUCAAAUGGGAAGAGCACACGU